rnacentral:precursor_RNA from 10 species
CAACAUGGAUCGAGGAGCGUCAACACGGAUCGACUCUCAAUCGGGCAACAUUGGUCUAUUGAACAACAAGCUGCCUGAUUAAGAGUUACGUCUGUGUUGGCGCCAACAUGCCUCGAAUCCU